rnacentral:rRNA from 1 species
UACGGGGGGUGCGAGCGUUAAUCGGAAUAACUGGGCGUAAAGGGCACGCAGGCGGAAUUUUAAGUGAGGUGUGAAAUCCCCGGGCUUAACCUGGGAAUUGCAUUUCAUACUGGGAGUCUAGAGUACUUUAGGGAGGGGUAGAAUUCCACGUGUAGCGGUGAAAUGCUUAGAGAUGUGGAGGAAUACCGAAGGCGAAGGCAGCCCCUUGGGAAUGUACUGACACUCAUGUGCUAAAGCGUGGGGAGCAACCAUG